rnacentral:rRNA from 1 species
ACAGCAGCAGCCGCGGUAAUACGGAGGGUGCAAGCGUUAAUCGGAAUUACUGGGCGUAAAGCGCACGCAGGCGGUCUGUCAAGUCAGAUGUGAAAUCCCCGGGCUUAACCUGGGAACUGCAUUUGAAACUGGCAGGCUAGAGUCUUGUAGAGGGGGGUAGAAUUCCAGGUGUAGCGGUGAAAUGCGUAGAGAUCUGGAGGAAUACCGGUGGCGAAGGCGGCCCCCUGGACAAAGACUGACGCUCAGGUGCGAAAGCGUGGGGAGCAAACAGGAUUAGAUACCCGUGUAGUCCCUGUCUCUUAUAC